CAGGUUAAAUCUUUAUAGAUAAGAAAUUCAUUUACACUGAGGAGUUUUCCGUGCAAUUCGGUAUAAUCUGA
rnacentral:tRNA from 1 species